rnacentral:rRNA from 1 species
GUGGGGAAUAUUGGACAAUGGGGGAAACCCUGAUCCAGCAAUGCCGCGUGAGUGAUGAAGGCCUUCGGGUUGUAAAGCUCUUUUAUCAGGGAAGAUAAUGACGGUACCUGAUGAAUAAGCUCCGGCUAACUUCGUGCCAGCAGCCGCGGUAAUACGAAGGGAGCUAGCGUUGUUCGGAAUUACUGGGCGUAAAGGGCGCGUAGGCGGCCUUGUAAGUUAGAUGUUAAAGCCCCGGGCUUAACCUGGGAACUGCAUUUAAGACUGCAAAGCUAGAGGACGAGGGAGGAAAAUGGAAUUAUGGGUGUAGAGGUGAAAUUCGGAGAUAUUCAUAAGAACACCAGUGGCGAAGGCGACUUUCUGGCUCGUAUCUGACGCUAAGGCGCGAAAGCGUGGGGAGCAAACAGGAUUAGAAACCCCGGUAGUCC